rnacentral:rRNA from 1 species
GACGAACGCUGGCGGCGUGCUUAACACAUGCAAGUCGAACGGAAAGGCCCUGCUUUUGUGGGGUUCUCGAGUGGCGAACGGGUGAGUAACACGUGAGUAACCUGCCCUUGACUUUGGGAUAACUUCAGGAAACUGGGGCUCAUACCGGAUAGGAGCUCCUGCUGCAUGGUGGUGGUUGGAAAGUUUCGGCGGUUGGGGAUGGACUCGCGGGUUAUCAGCUUGUUGGUGGGGUAGUGGCUUACCAAGGCUUUGACGGGUAGCCGGCCUGAGAGGGUGAACAGCCACAUUGGGACUGAGAGACGGACCAGACUGCUACGGGAGGCAACAGUCGAGAAUAUUGCACAAUGGGCGGAAGCCUGAUACAGCAACGCCGCGUGCGGGAUGACGGCCUUCGGGUUGUAAACCGAUUUCGCCUGUGACGAAGAGUGAGUGACGGUAAUGGGUAAAAAAGCACCGGCUAACUACGUG